CAUCUCCCAGCCAGGCUGGGGCCUGGGCCUGCCAUUCCUGAGAAGAUUUCUCCUUUGAAUCGGCAGGGAGCCGGGCUUAGCUGCCCGUUCUGUUGUGGGAGGAGGAAGCAGGGGCUGCUGACCCAGCUUUGGUCUAGCCAAGGCCCCAGCAGAGGAGGGCUCUGUUUGGUGUGGCCAGUGGGCAUCCAUGUCUCUGAAUCAGGUGACUUGGGUAUUGGUUUGUGUCCCUGUCUGCCACUUUCUGGCUGUGUGCCUUUGAGCAACUUCACGUCUCUGACCUCAGGGUCUUCUGGAAAACAGCUAAUGCCUGCCCCGGGGGUGAGGAUUCAAAUUAAGUGAGCGGUGCCUGGCCCUUGGAAAGCUCCCUGAGCCACAGCAAAGUUGGUGGGUUGCUCCUUGAUCCUGUAAUGAUGCGGGAUCAGUAAGCAAGGGGCGACCUCUUCCUGGCAGACCCCGUGUCUUGGUAUCAGGGCUGACAGGGACCGACACCCAUCCAGAAGCCCCAAGUGUCCCAUGGCCAGGGUCCUCAUCUACAUCGAUUGGACUGAGGGUUGACCUCUGGGCCUCACAGGCCUGGGCUCUCCCAGGCCAUCCCAGCUUGUCCCCGGCACAAAGAGAUCAAGGCCUUGUGGACAACCCCACCAUCCUCCUGUAUCCAUCCAUCCAACGGGGCCUGGGGACUUCAAGGGAACAAGAAAGUCCAGAGAGAGCGCCAACAGACGCUUGGUGGUCGGGGAUUGGCUGGUGUCCUUGGCUGAUUUCCGGGAAGAGCUGCAAAUUCCUAACCCAUCUGAUCGAACAGGCCAGACUGCUGGCUAUGGUGUGGACCAAGGACGCUGUCGCCUUGGCUUUGCCCUGGAGCCCAUGGAGCUGAGACCUGAUGCCAGCCACAAGGAGAAUGUGCCCCCCAGGCCUGUGACACCCCUG
rnacentral:lncRNA from 1 species